rnacentral:rRNA from 1 species
CCCUUAGAUGUCCUGGGCCGCACGCGCGCUACACUGACAUGUUCAACAAGCCUCCUAGUUCGACAGGAUUUGGGAAAUCUUUGAACGCAUGUCGUGAUAGGGAUAGAUCAUUGCAAUUAUUGAUCUUGAACGAGGAAUUCCUAGUAAAAGCGAGUCAUCAGCUCGCAUUGAUUACGUCCCUGCCCUUUGUACACACCGCCCGUCGCACCUACCGAUUGAAUGUUUCGGUGAAGAUUCCGGAUAGGACUUUUUUGAUUUAUUUCAAUUUUGUCUUAAAAGCUAUCUAAACCUCAACAUUUAGAGGAAGGUGAAGUCGUAACA